CGUGGACCAGUUUUUUCCCCUCAUCCAGCUGGCACUUUUUCUCUUGGGAGGAGUUGUUUUCCCUUAGGGAAAAUACAAAGGGCACCUCCACACCCAUACUAAGACACAUGAAGUCUGCUGGUAUUUAAAGGCUGACAAAUUUAGCUUGCUGAUCCUUGCUGUUGCACAGACUGAGAGCACCUGAUAUCACCAGCAUGAAAUUCCCCAGCCUCUCCAGCCUGCUGUAUAUUCUGUUUCUGUGUUUGUUAGCCUUCUCUACAGAAGGCUUGUGGCAUCAUUGGUAUAGGGGACUUCAGGUGCAAGACGAGUUAGACACCAGAAAGUUCUCUGCUGCCAGAAUGCUCCAAACCAUGUGCUCAGGAGUUUGAAAGGGAGAAAUCCAAAAAUGGCACCGCUCCACAAAUUUUGUAAAGGCAGAGUCAGUUCUCUUUGUAAGAGGAUCCCUGGGGCACUUCCUCAGAUAUAACCCACCAGAACAGGAGACCACAAAAGAAGGCAAAGACCAAGAGACCUUCUCUGACCUCCAAGUUAACAAGGCUGCUUUUUGCUUUCAACCUGAAGCCCCUCACCCUUCAAAGGGGAUUCAUCCCUCUCCAAGCUGCAUCGUGCUGACAAAGAUCAAUCUUGGAUGAACCCCUGCACCCAACUCCCAAAGGCCACCCAUUCAGUCAUUGAGUCUCAAUCACCCUUCGGCCAGUUGUGUUUGCUCUGCCCAGGGAAAGCAUGAGACUGAAAGCUUCUGUAGCUGUCUGUGCCAAGGAUACUCAGAUUAUAGUAUCUCUGCCCCUCUCUGGCAUUGUCACUUAACUGAUCCUGACCUCCUGUUCUUUAUGCUUUAAGUUUGUCAUACAUAGUUUGUCAUACGUGUAACUAAUGAAUGAAUCACAGGUUUGAAACUCCUGUGUAGUUCCUGUGUGCUAAAUCCCCAAAGAGCAAGCACAAAGAGUUCUGUUACUGGGCAUGUGCCAUCGGACAGUAUCAGCACUCACCUUAUAGCUAACAGUGUUUGAUUUUACUUCUACUAUACAGGGCUUUGCAAUUUGAGGGCUGGCUGAGGUCCUGGAAAGGGGAUCAUAAUCAUAAUUGUGCAAUACAGUGGAAUAAAGCUCUGUGUUUAGCACUGUGCCA
rnacentral:lncRNA from 1 species